UUUUUUACAAAUCGGAAUGAUCUGAAAUUUGGAGCAUGUAUUCAUUAAAAAUAAGCAAAACUAGGAAAAAUAUAAAAAAAAAAAAUUACAUGAAAUAAAUUGACCAAAAUACCAUCGAAAAGUCUCAAGGGUAUUUUGGUCAAUUUUGUUUUCGUGAAUUAUUUGUUUUAUAUUUUCAUUAGGUGCGUCUCACUAAGAUGUACACACGUUCCAAAUUUUAGAUCAUUCCGAUUCGUAGAAAA
rfam:Amborella trichopoda AMTR_V1.0_contig_12965, whole genome shotgun sequence.